rnacentral:misc_RNA from 1 species
AGUGAUUUUUCCUUUUCAAAAUUCCUGUAACAAAAUCACUAAAAUGAAAUCGUGGCUCUCUCUCAGUAACAUUCACCGUUCACCGCUAAAUUUUUCCACCUCCGCCGCUAAUUCCGUAACGCCGCCACGCCGUUGUUCGCCCUCCACCGCCACCUCCUCCUCCUCCCCUAACCUUCGAUUCUCUUCUUUUGUGCUAAAUCUACAGAGCUCAACUACCUACUCGUAUUCUUAUCCUAAUACGUCAUUCGGUCGCUGCCGGGCUACCAGUGCCGGUCCACCUUCGCCUCCACAGACCGAACCACCUAAUAAUGAAGAAGACUCGUCAUCGUCUCCAGGUAUCAUGUCAUCAUUCUCCAAAGCACAAGACACCUUGCGGAUAUUUGUUGCUGUCUUAUUUUGGAUGUCACUUUUCUUCUGGUAUUCUGUGUGGGAUGGGAAGAAGGAUGGCAGACCAAACAAGGGUUCUCGAUUUAGAAGAUAAAAUUGUAAGAAGCUUUAUGUUGUCCUGUACAAUUAACUCCUGAUGUUUUCUUACGCAACAGUGUAAAGCAUGGGGAGCAAAUGGGAAAAAGGAAAAAGAG